rnacentral:lncRNA from 1 species
UGUGGCGCGGCGUCCACCUCGGUCAGCAGUACUGCAGUGUCCUACGUCGUUUGGUUAAGGUUUAGGUGACGAGCCUAAUUAAAGCAUACUGAGAGGCUACUUCUACUACGUACCUGCCGCGCCGGCCGGCCGGCUCCGGUAGGAACCAUUUUAAAACGAAUCCUGUCAAGAUCAUCAUCUGGUAGCCUGACUGAACUGAAAUUAAGAAGCGGCUCAAUUUGUUCAUCAGCGUGCGUGCAUGUAUAGUUGUAUACCCUAGCUAGUUUCAACUUGUC